GGGAAGGGCAUGUUAAAAUGAAAACAUGACAGCCAGACAAGCCUGUGUUUGAAUCAAACGGAUUUGCAUAUGAAUGGAGUGGAAAUAAGUUGACUUCGUGAUCUGUAAGAUGGAGCUGGAGUCCUACAUGGAGGUGAUGUGAGGGCUUCCAGCCCCAGGUCGGCACAAACUGUCCCAUUGGCAGCCUGCAUCCAUCUGGCUGGUGGGGUUAGAUCCAGACCCGUCUCUACCUUUGGAGCUAUCUGCACUGUAUGGAGCACGGCCAAGCGUUGGAUUCACAGUGAGGUGAACUGCUCUCCCCUCGUAAAGAAAAGAAGACAUAUACCGCUGCGAGGUGAAGCUAUUGCAUUCCCUCCCUUCCACCACUCCUAUCACAAACUAUGAAACACCCGGGGUGCGUCAAAACCACAACCGCUUAAACUGCAGGACACAGUGUCAAUGAGUGAUGUUUUCACCUUUACAAGUGCAUGGGUUGAUUUGCAUGUGCUCAUGGGAAAUGAAGUCUUGAGCAUAGGUGGUGAAUUGAUCAGAUAAUCCAUCCAUUACUUUCAAUGGACAUUGAUAGAUAUUGUUUAUAUGGGUCCCUCCAUCAGGGAGGAUGUAUUCUGGCCAUAUCAACAGAAUGAGGUGUGACGCCUAUACUCUGUUCAUUCUGGAGGCCAUUUGGUGGUUUUCUAUCUUGAUGGCAACAAUGUCCUACUUUCUAUGUGUAAUCCACCAAGAGGCCCAGCAGAUUGCCCACACACCCUCACAAUGAUGCCAGCAGGGCAGAGAGGCAGUAUGUCUGGCCUGCAGCACUCUGGCUCUGUGGCUCAGAGACUGUUAUGUGCUGGUGAACAAUGACAUACCAGCCUAGUGCAGCUUCAACUAUGGCUGAACAACCAUGUGCAUUGGCUUUACAAUGCUUGUGUUCUAGCUAGUAAUUCAAUAUUUAUAACAAGCAUACAUAGUUAUAUUCCUUGGUGAAGAGACACAGGUUACCAAUGUCUAUAUGGCCAAUAGCUACUGCUCCUAAAAUGUUAGUGUUUUUCUGCAGAGGAUUUCAUUUUCUGUUGUGCGUGCUGUAGUUUAGUGAAAUAAAAUGAAACACUCAUCAAAUUAGAGAUGGAAUUCAAUGAGAAAAUGAAAAAUAAUGCAGUUAUUGAAAGCAGGUGUUUCUUUUCUGAAACCCAAUUAAACACUUAUGAAGAGAAAGGGUGGAGAAGAUAUUCUACACGUGCUGUUUGUGUACUGUAAUACCAGUGUUUGUGUACUGUAAUACCAGUGUUUGUGUACUAUAAUACCAGUGUUUGUGUACUGUAAUACCAGUGUUUGUGUACUGUAAUACCAGUGUUUGUGUACUGUAAUACCAGUGUUUGUGUACUGUAAUACCAGUGUUUGUGUACUGUAAUACCAGUGUUUGUGUACUGUAAUACCAGUGGGCUAUAUUUCAUAGUCUACUCACAUAACCAUAACAGAUGAAUUAUGGUCAGUCCAUGAAGACAUCUACUAUCAAUAUUUAAGACUCAUUCAUUGAUUUUCUUUUUCCAGACACGCUCUCUCUCAAACUAUAACAUUUAAUUUUGGAGAGAGUCAGGUUACGAGAGCCACCCCACUGGGCACAAACGUGUUCACUCAACGUUGAUUCAACAUCAUGUACAUUUGUCAAUGUAUUGCGAUGUUGAAUCUACGUUUGAAAACACAUUUGGAUUUGCAAAAGGUCAUCAACCAGAUAUCAUAUAAUUUCAACCACUGUUACAAACAUUGAAAUUAGGGUAAAACUUUAACUUAAAUACAAUGGCUAAACCUGACUAACAGGUUGUUACAUCAAUCUAAUUUCAACGUAAUCAUCAAAACUAUGUAUACGUUGAAACCUGCCUCCUCCCCUUCAUCGACACGGAUUGAAGUGGAUUCAACAAUAAAGGAUUCUAGCUUUCACCUGGA